UACGUAGGUGGCGAGCGUUGUCCGGAUUUACUGGGCGUAAAGAGCGCGCAGGCGGUCGUGCAAGUCGCGUGUGAAAGCCCCCGGCUCAACUGGGGAGGGUCACGCGAUACUGAUCGACUCGAAGGCAGGAGAGGGUAGUGGAAUUCCCGGUGUAGCGGUGAAAUGCGUAGAUAUCUGGAGGAACACCGGUGGCGAAGGCGGCAUCCUGGACCGACACUGACGCUGAGGAGCGAAAGCCAGGGGAGCAAACGGG
rnacentral:rRNA from 1 species